UGUUAUAUGUUAAGGUUAAUUGUGUAUGUUCUAUAUUAUAUGGUUUUACUUGUUCUAGCCAUUUUAUUCCUAAUAUUAUGUCUGCUUUUUGCAUUUCUUCCUUUACUUCAAAUUCUAUUUUUAUUUUUCUAAUUCCUAUUAUUAUUUCUUUUUCUGCUAUAUUUUUACUAUUUAUUAAACUUCUUGGUAGAUCUGGGCACAUAUCAUUAUCAGUUUUUAUUUCUUCAUUUUUUACUAGAUAUUUUGCUAUAUAAUUUUCUCCUUGUCCUGUAUUUAAGAGUAUUAAAUAUU
rnacentral:lncRNA from 1 species